rnacentral:rRNA from 1 species
AAUUCUCAACUGCCCCGAGCUCUUGUGGCUUGUGAGGUGAGGUUGGAUUUGGAGGACAUUGCUGGCGUGUGCUCUGUGCAUGCUUGUCGGCCCCUCUUGAAUGCAUGAGCUUUCCAGUCCUUGGCAAAGUAUCGUCGAUGUGAUAGUUAUCUGCGUCGCUCGAGAAAAGCGUGUAAGGGGAAAUCUACGAUCGUAUCGGCCCUUCGGGGGUUCCGUGUCUGACACAUUCGACCUCAAAUCAGGUAGGACUACCCGCUGAACUUAAGCAUAUCAAUAAGCGGAGGAAAAGAAACUAACAAGGAUUCCCCUAGUAACUGCGAGUGAAGCGGGAAAAGCUCAAAUUUAAAAUCUGGCGGCCACCGGUCGUCCGAGUUGU